rnacentral:hammerhead_ribozyme from 1 species
AUACCACUGAAGAGUUCCAAACUAGGGCGAAACAGCUGUCCAGUAU